GGAAGUAAAAGUUGUAACAAGGUUUCCGUAGGUGAACCUGCGGAAGGAUCAUUAAAGAGUAAGGGUCUUCGGGCCCGAUCUCCAACCCUUUGUUUAACUACCAUGUUGCUUUGGCGGGCCCGUCUCACGACCGCCGGAAGUUUGGCUUCGACCAAACUUCUGGCCCGUGCCCGUCAGUGGCCCCUUCAAAUUCUUGAUCAAGUAUGAUGUCUUAGUUAAAAACUUAAUAGUUAAAACUUUCACCAACGGAUCUCUUGGUUCUG
rnacentral:misc_RNA from 1 species